CCUACGUGCGGCUGCAGUAGGGAAUAUUGCUCAAUGGGGGAAACCCUGAAGCAGCAACGCCGCGUGGAGGAUGAAGGUUUUCGGAUUGUAACCUCCUUUUGUUAGAGAAGAUAAUUACGGUAUCUAACGCAUAAUCACUGGCUAACUCCGUGCCAGCAGCCGCGGUACUACGGAGGGUGCAAGCGUUACUCGGAAUCACUGGGCGUAAAGAGCGCGUAGGCGGGAUAGCAAGUCAGAUGUGAAAUCCUAUGGCUUAACCAUAGAACUGCAUUUGAAACUGUUAUUCUAGAGUAUGGGAGAGGUAGGUGGAAUUCUUGGUGUAGGGGUAAAAUCCGUAGAGAUCAAGAGGAAUACUCAUUGCGAAGGCGACCUGCUAGAACAUAACUGACGCUGAUGCGCGAAAGCGUGGGGAGCAAACAGGAUUAGAUACCCCUGUAGUC
rnacentral:rRNA from 1 species